rnacentral:rRNA from 1 species
GACGAACGCUGGCGGCGUGCUUAACACAUGCAAGUCGAGCGGUAAGGCCCUUUCGGGGUACGACGAGCGGCGAACGGGUGAGUAACACGUGGGUGACCUCGCCCUCAGCUCUGGGAUAAGCCUGGGAAACGUGGGUCUAAUACUGGAUAUGACUCCACGGUGCAUGUCGUGGGGUGGAAAGCCUUGUGCGGCUGAGGAUGGGCCCGCGGCCUAUCAGCUUGUUGGGUGGGGUGANGGCCUACCAAGGCGACGACGGGUAGCCGGCCUGAGAGGGCGACCGGCCACACUGGGACUGAGAC